rnacentral:rRNA from 1 species
AUUGAACGCUGGCGGCAGGCCUAACACAUGCAAGUCGAGCGAGCGGCGGACGGGUGAGUAAUGUAUGGUGACUGCCAGAUAGAGGGGGAUAACUACAGGAAACGGUAGCUAAUACCGCAUACUAUCGGAUAACCCAUAUGGGAUUAGCUAGUAGGUGAGGUAAUGGCUCACCUAGGCGACGAUCCCUAGCGGGUCUGAGAGGAUGAUCAGCCACACUGGGACUGAGACACGGCCCAGACUCCUACGGAGGCAGCAGUGGGGAAUAGUGCACAAUGGGCGAAAGCCUGAUGCAGCCAUGCCGGGUGUAUGAAGAAGGCCUUAGGGUUGUAAAGUACUUUCAGUCGGGAGGCGUUACCGACAGAAGAAGCACCGGCUAACUCCGUGCCAGCAGCCGCGGUAAUAC